rnacentral:rRNA from 1 species
AUUGAACGCUAGCGGGAUGCUUUACACAUGCAAGUCGAACGAGUGGCGGACGGGUGAGUAAUAUAUCGGAAGUACCCAGUAGAGGGGGAUAACUACUGGAAAGAGUGGCUAAUACCGCAUACUAUCGGAUAACCCAUAUGGGAUUAGCUAGUAGGUGGGGUAAUGGCUCACCAAGGCGACGAUCCCUAGCUGGUCUGAGAGGAUGAUCAGCCACACUGGAACUGAGACACGGUCCAGACUCCUACGGAGGCAGAAGUGGGGAAUAUUGCACAAUGGGCGCAAGCCUGAUGCAGCCAUGCCGCGUGUAUGAAGAAGGCCUUAGGGUUGUAAAGUACUUUCAGUGGGGAGGCGUUACCGACAGAAGAAGCACCGGCUAACUCCGUGCCAGCAGCCGCGGUAAUAC